GCUGAUUUAUUUUUGCUUUCUUCCUGGGUCUGCUUUGGGUAUUCCUAAAGGGAGGCAGAAAAUGUGUUUAAUAUUCAUAU
rnacentral:miRNA from 14 species